AUUCAUCCGAGGGUGCUGCCUCCUCAACCUUUGCCUCCUGCGCCGCUCUCCUUCCCCCGGCCGCCGCCGCCAGCAGUGCAGUCCCUCCGGCACGCAUGCUCUGGUUCACCAAGAGGGAGACUGAUUUUUUUUAAAUCAUGCUCAUCAUCAUCAUCAUCAUCAUCAUCAUCAUCAUCACGUUCCUUAUCAUGGUUAUCAUUUCCUCCUGCCAGGUGGAGCGACCACCAGCGCCG
rnacentral:lncRNA from 1 species